GGCGGCAUGCCUUACACAUGCAAGUCGAACGGCAGCACGGGAGCAAUCCUGGUGGCGAGUGGCGAACGGGUGAGUAAUAUAUCGGAACGUGCCCAGUCGUGGGGGAUAACGCAGCGAAAGCUGUGCUAAUACCGCAUACGAUCUCUGGAUGAAAGCGGGGGACUCGCAAGGGCCUCGCGCGAUUGGAGCGGCCGAUAUCAGAUUAGCUAGUUGGCGGGGUAAAGGCCCACCAAGGCGACGAUCUGUAGCUGGUCUGAGAGGACGACCAGCCACACUGGAACUGAGACACGGUCCAGACUCCUACGGGAGGCAGCAGUGGGGAAUUUUGGACAAUGGGCGCAAGCCUGAUCCAGCAAUGCCGCGUGCAGGAUGAAGGCCUUCGGGUUGUAAACUGCUUUUGUACGGAACGAAACGGUCUGUCCUAAUACGGUGGGCUAAUGACGGUACCGUAAGAAUAAGCACCGGCUAACUACGUGCCAGCAACCGCGGUAAUACGUAGGGUGCGAGCGUUAAUCGGAAUUACUGGGCGUAAAGCGCGCGUAGGCGGUUUUGCAAGCCAGAGGUGAAAUGCCUGAGCUCAACUCGGGAAUUGCCUUUGGGACUGCGAGGCUUUGAGGACUGGAGAGGUGAGUGGAAUUCCCAGUGUAGAGGUGAAAUUCGUAGAUAUUGGGAAGAGCACCGGUGGCGAAGGCGGCUCACUGGCCAGUUUCUGACGCUGCAGCGCGAAAG
rnacentral:rRNA from 1 species